UACGUAGGGGGCGUAGCGUUGUCCGGAUUUAUUGGGCGUAAAGAGCGUGUAGGCGGUCCGGUAAGUCCGCUGUGAAAGUCGGGGGCUCAACCCUCGAAUGCCGGUGGAUACUGUCGGGCUAGAGUGCGGAAGAGGCGAGUGGAAUUCCUCGGUGUAGCGGUGAAAUGCGCAGAUAUCAGGAAGAACACCCGUGGCUAAGGCGGCUCUCUAGUACGGUACUGACGCUGAGACGGCGAAAGCGUGGGGAGCGAACAGG
rnacentral:rRNA from 1 species